UUCUACAGCCAUACCACCCUGAAUGUGCCUGAUCUCAACUGACCUUAGAAGCUAAGCAGAGUCAGGCCUGGUUAGUACUUGGAUGGGAGAAAGCAUUAAUGUCAGUGUAAACU
rnacentral:rRNA from 1 species